rnacentral:lncRNA from 12 species
CGGAGUCUGACCUCUUACACGGGAGAAGCUGUGUUUGGUAUCUCAUGUGUUGGCAGUGCUCCUUACAAAGUGGAGUGCAGUCCCACCCACUUUCUCAACAGCAGAAGAGAAUGAGGAAGAGGCUGGCUGGGCAAGGGGACCCUCCUCCCAAAAUGGUCCCAAGAGACAGCUCCGAGGGCACGUGGAAGGUGCUGCUACCCUCUGGCUGGGUGUAGCAUCACACGCGGCUGAACCAAGUUGGCACCCCCUCACUUCCAUGGGGGGCCUCCCUGCCUCUCAACCACCCUGAAGUCCCAGGAUUGCAGCUUUUCUGAAGCCCCCGAGAGGAAAGCAUCUUGGAGCACUGCAGACACCACACUGAAAAUAGUGAAAAACAUUCAAUUUGGAAACAAUUUUACCUCGAUUUAUCUUUUUUUUUUUUUCUCUCCCCCUUUGUGUGUCAGCCCACGGCUUCUGUCCUUCCUCUUACCUGAAGGUGGUCCUCUUGUGACUCCUCCUGGGGUCACGGUGGUGGCAGGAAUGGUGCUGUAUCGUCGAAGUGUGGCCAGGGGCUGGGGGAGGCCGAGAAGAAAGGACCCCCUCCCCCCCAAUCUUCCUUCCAGACCGGAGGAAGUGUGGCCAGAGAGGCAGACAGCACAGGCUGCAUCCGACAACCAGCGGUGUUAUCACUACAACACACACAUUGUUCUCCAGGAGAUGCCCUCACUUUACCCUCUCUACAGCCAAAGCCAAGGUUGAUCCUCUCUGUCCCAUGAGGGAGAAACUAGCUCUGUGUGCCUAGCAGCCCAGUGUACAUGCAAAUGGAGAAGCAGAUGGCUUUCAAAGCCCACCUCUUCCAGGAAGACUUCUUUGCUUAAUCCUGGCUACACACACUCUACUUUGAGCAGUACCACCAGGGAAUGUAAGUGUUGGGCUGGAUGAUGAUAAGCAGGAGG